UGUAAUAAUAAUGAGUAUCGAAAUAUUUGUAAUAUAAUUGCUGAAAAAUAUGAAUAUAUAAUAUUUUUCAGCGCGAAAAGAAAGAGCAGCUUGACGAAAAGAAGGAUAACAUUGUCGCGGUAAGCAGCGGAUUCGUUCAGAUUCGCAGUUCCGUAUGAUUUUUUUAUCGUAACAUAAUGAAACGCGCGUCGGAAAUUUCGCGAAGUAUCACGCGAACGUUAAAUAAAAAAACGCGUGCCGGGAGUAUCGUACAGUGUCGCGCGACAAUGAUAUCGAAUUCUACGCGUUAUUCCAUUCAUACGCGCGCGAUCAUAUGAAUCGCGAGUGUAGUGCCAGCAGAAGAAGGCCUAGGGGGCAUUAGGCGACGGCAAAGCAACCCUGGAUAAGAAAUUUAUUAUUUAUAUAAACGACGAGACACUUCCUGCGCGAUUGCUGCGAGUCAUCCACCGAUAAACCUUCGCGCUUCAAAUCGUUAUAUUCGUUCCGCCGUAAUUUCGUAAUAUAAUAAAACGUGCGUCGGGAGUGCGGAAGUGCGUUAUUCCGGGAGUGGCGUGAUAGUUUCGCGCGAGUACGAAACGCCGAAUUUUAGCGAAUCGUAUAGACGAACAUAUUUCCGCCGCAUGCUACGACAAAUAUUGGGACAUGAUUUUCUUUCGACUUUGGGCUUGGCUCGAGGGAGAAAAGGAAACUAAUCGCACCUUAGCUUCUUCGAGCUUACGUUUUGCUCUCUGUUUUGAGAAAAUCGUGCCUCAAUUGGUAAAUACAGUCGUCUGAAACGUGGACGAAAUUCACGCGUAACGUCGCAAUAACUAAUAUAAAAUGCGCGUCGGGAGUUCCGUUUAAAGUGCCGUGCGAUUUAAUAAUUCGCGUCGCGAAUGUGUGUGCAUACUUUGAAGACCACUGAGAGAAGGAGGAGGCUCAGGAAGAGCAUCAGGCGUCGGCGGA